rnacentral:rRNA from 1 species
UGCCCACUGAUAUUUAUAUUAAAGGGCUGCAGUAUUUUGACUGUACAAAGGUAGCAUAAUAAAUAGUCAUUUAAUUGAUGACUUGUAUGAAGGAUUGGAUGAAAUAUAAACUGUCUUAAAUAUAAAUUUAGAAUUUAAUUUUUUAGUUAAAAAGCUAAAAUAAAUUAAAAAGACGAGAAGACCCUAUAGAGUUUAAUUAAUAUUUAAAUUAAAAUAAUUUUUAUUAAUUAAAAUUAAAUUUAAUAUUUAAUUUUGUUGGGGUGAUAAAAAAAUUAAAAUAACUUUUUUUAAAAAUUUACAUUGAUAAGUGAAUAAUUGAUCCAAUUUUAUUGAUUAUAAGAAAAAAUUACCUUAGGGAUAACAGCGUAAUUUUUUUUUUUAGUUCAUAUAAAAAAAAGAGUUUGCGACCUCGAUGUUGGAUUAAGAUAAAAUUUAAAAGUAGAAGUUUAAGGUUG